rnacentral:misc_RNA from 1 species
GAUGAAGAACGCAGCGAAAUGCGAUACGUAAUGUGAAUUGCAGAAUUCAGUGAAUCAUCGAGUCUUUGAACGCACAUUGCGCCCUCUGGUAUUCCGGAGGGCAUGCCUGUCCGAGCGUCAUUGCUGCCCUCAAGCACGGCUUGUGUGUUGGGCCCCGCCCCCCGAUCCCGGGGGGCGGGCCCGAAAGGCAGCGGCGGCACCGCGUCCGGUCCUCGAGCGUAUGGGGCUUUGUCACCCGCUCUGUAGGCCCGGCCGGCGCUUGCCGAUCAACCAAACUUUUUUCCAGGUUGACCUCGGAUCAGGUAGGGAUACCCGCUGAACUUAAGCAUAUCAAUAGCGGGGA